GCUAGCAUGGUAUAGUGGUUUGCACACUGGACUACUACUCUGUAGACCAAGGUUUGAAUCCUUGCUCAGCC